ensembl:misc_RNA
UUGACAGCCCUGGAGGCUGAAGUCCUCUUUAGCCACUGAACAAGUGCAGGGCAGCAGCAGCGCAAGUUUCCCCACGCUGUCCUCCGUCAACGUGCUCCAUCCUUACCCAUGACACAAAGGGAGGGGGGAGUUCAGUUUCCAUCAUAGCCAAUCUUCAGCCUUGCUGCU